rnacentral:rRNA from 1 species
AUGAAGAGGAAGAGAGGUGAGCCUGAGCUGGAGUACGGGGCCUCGUCCGAGGUGGAUGAGAGGUCCAACGAGAGCAGCAACAAGAUGCAGGGCCAGCUCCUAGCCGCUGCGUGCGGCGCCGACGGGGGCAAUGCCAAGUUCGCGUGGUAUGGCGCUCCAUCGGUGGAUGUGGCCGCGGCAGCGGUGGAGCACGGGUUCGGCAGGAUGAACAACCGGGUCCUUCUCCAUCGCGCGCACGGCGACGACGUCCACCUCUCGCCGCCUCGGUCUCCUUAUGCCAGGUCAGGUCAGAGUUCUGAAUUUGUGGUUUUGAUCGAUGGCAAGCAUGAAUAUAGGCAUAUAGCUAACCCACAGUGGUAUGUUGUUUGGGGCAAGGACAUGAACAUGAGGAUCCUCCCAGAGUACGUCGUCAGCUUCAAGUGUCCCAACCUCCAUCAGAUGCAAGGAUCAUCGGGAGCGAACUCCACGCUAAAGAAGCCUUCGCCGGUGGCUCAUGACAUGUUUCCGACGCUUCUAGCAGAGAUCCAGUGGUUCAUGCCAUCUUCCAAGCUGCAGACAUUGCAGGGGACCUACAAUUGCUUCAAGAAGAAUGUUCUAUCAAAGCAACCAUGUCCGAUAUGUUCACAUGAAUUCUUUCAUGUGGCCGUUCCUCACAUUCCUUUGCUUUCAACUAUUCCAGCCAGCUGCAAUGAAGUCCUCCAUAGAGAAGGGUUUGCAGAAAAUGAUCUUGGCAUCCCAGAUAAGCAGGUCGGGGUCAAAGCCGGUGCCCGGGGGAUUUCAAUGGAUCACCAACACGAGAAACUGAAAUGGCAGGACCAGAAAAGAUGGUCCCAGAUCUCACUGCAGCCGGAUGUGCAAGAACACAUCAAUGAUCAUCUGUGA